rnacentral:rRNA from 1 species
CGGGGUGAGUAAUGUCUGGGAAACUGCCUGAUGGAGGGGGAUGACUACUGGAAACGGUAGCUAAUACCGCAUAACGUCGCAAGACCAAAGAGGGGGACCUUCGGGCCUCUUGCCAUCGGAUGUGCCCAGAUGGGAUUAGCUAGUAGGUGGGGUAACGGCUCACCUAGGCGACGAUCCCUAGCUGGUCUGAGAGGAUGCCAGCCACACUGGAACUGAGACACGGUCCAG